AUGGGGAGAAAGGCGCCUUCUUUUGCUCCGGCCGGACGGAAGCGUAAAGGUCCAUCGUUUCCCCUUCUCUCCCCCUGCAAACGCCGGAUUUCCCCCGCUCCGGCGCAGGUGACCGGCUGGGCAUCCCUCCCGGACGACAUAGUCCACCAAGUCGCCGCGCUGGUGCUGGAAUUCGACGUGGUGGACUACAUUGCCUUCCGCGCGGUCUGCUCGGGAUGGCGCGCCUGCGCGCCCAGCCCGCGAGACCCCACCCUGCGGAUACGAUCUCUCCGCCCGGUCGACUGGGUCGCGCUCUGCGACGGCGACGCCGUCCGCCCGGAUGACGCCUGCCAGAUAACCUUCUUCCAGAAGCGAACGGCCAGGUGCCUCCGCGUCCGCCUGCCCGAGCUCCAGCGCCACAGGAUCAUUGGCUUCACUGAUGGUCUUGUCAUCCUGCUGCACAAGCGAGCCACCACGAUCCGCGUGCUCCACCCCUUCACGCGGGUCGUGGUCGACUUCCCAUCCCUCGUCCCCGUCUACCAGAAGCUGAUCCGGAACCGCAACUGCGUGCUCCGCAUGAACGCUGCGGUUUGUAGCAGUGUGUCAUCCACCACUUCCAUUGCCGUCGUGGCUUGGUUCCCUUGGUCAUCUGUGGUGCUCAGUGCUGAUGCAGGCCACUCAAGCUGGGAGGUCAUUCACAAAGACAUGUAUCUUUCCAAUACCUUGCCCUUCCAAGGUCAGCUUUACGGUUUCCUGCAGACUUCAAGGCAGAUUGUGCAAGUCUACCCUCCAAAACCACUUGGUCCUGGCCCUGUCGUUGCUCAUGUUCCAAUUAAGUUUGGCAACCCAUUUUUCUGCAGCUUCUAUCUCGUGGAGUCCGAUGGCCACAUGCUACUUGUUGUCAAGUCUAUGAACUUGGUGGGCCGUGAUGUGGAGGAGUGGCGACGUUACGUCAUUGCGAUCUUCAAGGUUGAUGUAAGCCUCGGCCACUGGGAACUGAUCCCAGUAAGCAGUCUUGGCGACCGAGCAUUGUUUGUCUCCAUGGACAGGUGCCUGUCCGUGAAGGCGAAGAACCUUCCUUCCAUCAGCAGCAACUCAAUUUACCUCACUGUGCCACUCCCGGAUCCGGUUGUCGUGCAUUCCCUGAGCAGCCAGUCAUUUGAGCGGCCAACGACGUUGUGUCAGGUCCACGACGUGAAGGAGAAGAUUCGCCCGUCCGUCAGGCCCUUCACCAUCGCUGAUCAUCUUCUCACCUACUGCAAUCAUCGUGAAUGGGCAACUGGACUAAUGUUUCAUGAGUAUUACACUAUACCCAAGUCUUAUGAAGAGUUGUGGAAGAAAAUAAGAGCUCAGGAUUCUGAAGUGAGGAUUUCGCGCGUGCAAGAUUCAAUCAGGAAAGGGAAAAGGCGUGUCCAACUGAAGAAGGAAUAA
rnacentral:rRNA from 1 species